GGCCCAACAAGGGACAAGUUAUUAGCGCAUGAUCCAUAUCCUCAUAUGAACCAGGACAUAAAUCACAUGAAAUCAUGGUCUCAUUUAUAAUUCUCCUUCUUACUAAUAGAUCUUUACUAGGCAACCUUUUCCACAAUAUUUUCCACCAAAAAAGUUUGAUUCUUGGUGGCACUUUCAUUUUCCAAACCUAGGACAUUGCCC
rnacentral:lncRNA from 1 species